AUUUCAGGAAGUUGGAUAUUGUUUUUCAUGUCAGCUGUUUGAUAUAGAUACAAUGUUAUUUAAAACAUAGUGAGAUGUUUUAAAUUCUUAGUUUUGGGGUGUCACACCAACUAACUGAGAGAAAACCUGUGAAUAAUGCCUCACCAAACGAGAUCGGUUCUUUUCUCACAUUAUCUUGCAAUAACGUUGUAGUCGAUGCAGUUAGCUAGUAAUAAAACGACACAAGACGAAUUCAAACGUUAUAGAUAUAGAUCCAACAACCAUCAGAGCUCUUAUUGACAAUAAACAGUCGUGCCUCCCUCAGCUGCCCGAUACCCAGGCACAACGUCACGCCGGCUCACAGCUCACACCACCACGUGGCUCAGUCAGUAGGGGCUUGGACUGGGAACCGUAGGGUCGCCGGUUCAAGUCCCCAACAGACUUGAAAUAUGGAAAGUGGACUGCUACUUGGAGAGGUCCCAGUUCACCUCCUAGGCCCUGCUGUGGUGCCCUUGAGCAAGGCACCGGACACCUCCAAUCCCCCCUCCCCAUUGCUCCCCGGGCGCUGCACGAUAGCUGCCCACUGCUCCUAGUACUAGGAUGGGUUAAAUGCAGAGGACUAAUUUCACUGUGUGUGCUCUGCUGUGUGCAUGUAUGUGACUAAUAAAGAGGAUUUCAUCCUCCGAUUCUAUCUUCUAUCUCUAUCAAUCAUAUGUUGUAGGUCUCAGAUAUAUGCAAAACAUGUCUCUGAAGUGUUUGGCUCGAAAUACCUUAACAGAUCAUGCAUUUUAGUAUGACAAAUAACUGCCAGCCCCUCUGCAAGAUAUUUGGUUUUAAAAAACACAAUGGUUCUCUAGGAGGAAAUUCAGGUGAUAAGGGGUUACCUUGGUUGGUUAUUGGCUAGUGGUUGCACAACCAAAAAAACAUUGUGACAUCACACUGUGGCCAAAAUCUGAUCAGCCCAUUUUCAUACAGGUUUUUAUAUAGAUGGAUCAGGAAAAAAAGAAAGAAAAUCUAUUUAAAAAGAAGGGACACAUUUGUACGUAUAAAAGUCAUGAAAAAGUGGAUUUUGCACUAUAGGUGACCUCAAGAAUAAAAGUUAAGGAUUAAC